rnacentral:rRNA from 1 species
UGCCUAACACAUGCAAGUCGAGCGCGAAAGGGGGCUUCGGCCUCUGAGUAGAGCGGCGGACGGGUGAGUAACACGUGGGUAACCUAUCCUCGGGUGGGGAAUAACCUAGGGAAACUUGGGCUAAUACCGCAUCAUAUCCCUGACUCAUAAGAAUUUGGGAUCAAAGCUGGGGACCCUUCGGGGCCUGGCGCCUGAGGCGGGGCUCGCGGCCGAUUAGCUUGUUGGUGAGGUAAUGGCUCACCAAGGCUUCGAUCGGUAGCCGGCCUGAGAGGGCGGACGGUCACACUGGGACUGAGACACGGCCCAGACUCCUACGGGAGGCAGCAGUGGGGAAUUUUUUGUCAAUGGGGGAAACCCUGAACAAGCAACGCCGCGUGGAGGAUGAAGGCCCUCGGGUCGUAAACUCCUGUCGGGAGGGACGAAAGCGGCUGGGAUUAUACUCCCAGUUGUUGACGGUACCUUAGGAGGAAGCCCCGG